rnacentral:rRNA from 1 species
AGGACGAACGCUGGCGGCGUGCUUAACACAUGCAAGUCGAGCGGAGAAUAUAGCAAUAUAUUCUUAGCGGCGGACGGGUGAGUAACGCGUGGGCAAUCUGCCUCAUACAGGGGGAUAACACUGGGAAACUAGUGCUAAUACCGCAUAAAAUAGUGAAGUGGCAUCACUUUACUAUCAAAGGAGCAAUCCGGUGUGAGAUGAGCCCGCGUCCGAUUAGCUAGUUGGAGGGGUAACGGCCCACCAAGGCGACGAUCGGUAGCCGAACUGAGAGGUUGAUCGGCCACAUUGGGACUGAGACACGGCCCAGACUCCUACGGGAGGCAGCAGUGGGGAAUAUUGCGCAAUUCGGGGGGAAACCCUGACGCAGCAACGCCGCGUGAAGGAUGAAGGUUUUCGGAUUGUAAACUUCUUUGAUUGGGGACGAUAAUGACGGUACCCAAAAAACAAGCCACGGCUAACUACGUGCCAGCCGCCGC